GGAGUUGACCGGGUAGUCGCCGCUUUAUUGAUGUCCCUUGGUUUCGGCCGGGGAGACUGAUAGAGGGGAGGAAAGUCCGGGCUCCAUAGAGCAGGGUGCCAGGUAACGCCUGGGGGGCGUGAGCCCACGACAAGUGCAGCAGAGAGAAGACCGCCGAUGGCCCUAGUGGCCAGGUAAGGGUGAAAGGGUGCGGUAAGAGCGCACCGUGCGGCUGGUAACAGUCCGUAGCAAGGUAAACUCCACCCGGAGCAAGACCAAAUAGGCUCCCGUAUGGCGUUGCUCGCGUCUGGGAGCGGGUAGGUUGCUUGAGCCAGUGAGUGAUUGCUGGCCUAGAGGAAUGGCUACUACCGUUGCAAAACGGAACAGAACCCGGCUUAUAGGUUGACUCCGGCU
rnacentral:RNase_P_RNA from 1 species